AUUCCAAUCGAACCCGGAGAUAGCUGGUUCUCCCCGAAAUAGCUUUAGGGCUAGCGUCGAGAGAAGAGUUGCGUGAAGGUAGAGCACUGAAUAUGUGAUGGCCCCAUCUCGGGGUACUGAGCAUAAUCAAACUGCGAAUGUCACGCCAACAUGCUCGGCAGUCAGACAGCGGGUGAUAAGGUCCGUUGUCAAGAGGGAAACAGCCCAGACCAUCAGCUAAGGUCCCAAAAUGUAUGCUAAGUGGAAAAGGAUGUGGAGAUGUACAGACAACUAGGAGGUUGGCUCAGAAGCAGCCAUCCUUUAAAGAGUGCGUAACAGCUCACUAGUCGAAUGACUCUGCGCCGAUAAUUUACCGGGGCUAAGCAUACUACCGAAGCUAUGGAUCCCAAGGGAUGGUAGGGGAGCGUUCCAUGAACGGAGAAGUACGACCGAAAGGACGUGUGGAGAUCAUGGAAGAGAGAAUGCCGGUGUGAGUAGCGGAACGUGGGUGAGAAUCCCACGCACCGAAAACCCAAGGUUUCCAGAGGAAGGUUCGUCCGCUCUGGGUAAGUCGGGACCUAAGGCGAGGCCGAAAGGCGUAGUCGAUGGACAACAGGUAGAGAUUCCUGUACCCGUAUAUAUGUGAAGGAAUGACGGAGAGAGGAAGCUGCAGCCAGCGGCUGGAAGAGCUGGUGCAAGCGAGAUAUCGGGAUGGCAGGCAAAUCCACCAUCCGAAACGAGAAGGCGUGAAGCGUACGGAAAGCUACGGCGAGUACGGAAGGCAGUGGAGGAACUUCCAAGAAAAGUUUCUAACGUUAAGUAUAUAUGGCCCGUACCGAAAAUGGACACACAUGGGUGAGGAGAGAAUCCUAAGGUGAGCGAGAGAACUAUAGCUAAGGAACUCUGCAAAAUGACUCCGUAACUUAGGGAGAAGGAGUGCUCAUAGAGAUAUGAGCCGCAGUGAAACGGCCCAAGCGACUGUUUACCAAAAACACAGCUCUCUGCUAAGCCGCAAGGCGAAGUAUAGGGGGUGACGCCUGCCCGGUGCUGGAAGGUUAAGGGGAGGGGUUAACGCAAGUGAAGCCCUGAACUGAAGCCCCAGUAAACGGCGGCCGUAACUAUAACGGUCCUAAGGUAGCGAAAUUCCUUGUCAGGUAAGUUCUGACCCGCACGAAAGGCGUAACGAUUUGGGCGCUGUCUCAGCUGUAGACUCGGUGAAGUCUUAGUACCUGUGAAGAUGCAGGUUACCCGCGACUAGACGGAAAGACCCCAUGGAGCUUCACUGCAGGUUGAUAUUGGGAUUUGAUGCAGCAUGUACAGGAUAGGUAGGAGGCAAAGAGAUGGAUACGCCAGUAUUCAAGGAGCCGCUGUUGGGAUACUACCCCUGUUGUAUUGGAUUUCUAACCGGACGACGUAGAGCCGUUGACGGGACAGUGUCAGUCGGGCAGUUUGACUGGGGCGGUCGCCUCCCAAAGAGUAACGGAGGCGCCCAAAGAUACCCUCAGCUUGGAUGGAAACCAAGCGCAGAGUGCAAAGGCAAAAGGGUGUUUGACUGCGAGACCUACAAGUCGAGCAGGGACGAAAGUCGGGCUUAGUGAUCCGGCGGUGCUGAAUGGAAAGGCCGUCGCUCAACGGAUAAAAGCUACCCUGGGGAUAACAGGCUGAUCUCCCCCAAGAGUUCACAUCGACGGGGAGGUUUGGCACCUCGAUGUCGGCUCAUCGCAUCCUGGAGCUGAAGUCGGUUCCAAGGGUUGGGCUGUUCGCCCAUUAAAGCGGUACGCGAGCUGGGUUCAGAACGUCGUGAGACAGUUCGGUCCCUAUCUGUCGUGGGCGCAGGAAAUUUGAGAAGAGCUGUCCUCAGUACGAGAGGACCGGGAUGGACGCAUCAAUGGUGGACCAGUUGUCACGCCAGUGGCAUAGCUGGGUAGCUAAAUGCGGAAGGGAUAAACGCUGAAGGCAUCUAAGUGUGAAACCCACUUCAAGAUGAGAUUUCCCAUUGCGCAAGCAAGUAAGACCCCUUAAAGACGAUAAGGUAGAUAGGUCAGGAGUGUAAGCAUGGUGACAUGUUAAGCGGACUGAUACUAAUAGGUCGAGGGCUUGACCGA
rnacentral:rRNA from 1 species